CCCUACGGGGCGCAGCAGUGGGGGAUAUUGCACAAUGGGGGGAACCCUGAUGCAACGACGCCGCGUGGGUGAAGAAGCGCCUCGGCGCGUAAAGCCCUGUCAGCAGGGAAGAAAAUGACGGUACCUGAAGAGGAAGCCCCGGCUAACUACGUGCCAGCAGCCGCGGCAAUAUGUAGGGGGCAAGCGUUAUCCGGAUUUACUGGGUGUAAAGGGGGCGCAGACGGCGAUGCAAGCCAGGAGUGAAAGCCCGGGGCCCAACCCCGGGACUGCUCUUGGAACUGCGUGGCUGGAGUGCAGGAGGGGCG
rnacentral:rRNA from 1 species